GACGAACGCUGGCGGCGUGCCUAAUACAUGCAAGUUGAGCGAUGAAGAUUGGUGCUUGCACCAAUUUGAAGAGCAGCGAACGGGUGAGUAACGCGUGGGGAAUCUGCCUUUGAGCGGGGGACAACAUUUGGAAACGAAUGCUAAUACCGCAUAACAACUUUAAACAUAAGUUUUAAGUUUGAAAGAUGCAAUUGCAUCACUCAAAGAUGAUCCCGCGUUGUAUUAGCUAGUUGGUGAGGUAAAGGCUCACCAAGGCGAUGAUACAUAACCGACCUGAGAGGGUGAUCGGCCACAUUGGGACUGAGACACGGCCCAAACUCCUACGGGAGGCAGCAGGAGGGAAUCUUCGGCAAUGGACGAAAGUCUGACCGAGGAACGCCGCGUGAGUGAAGAAGGGUUUCGGAUCGUAAAACUCGGUUGGUAGAGAAGAACGUUGGUGAGAGUGGAAAGCUCAUCAAGUGACGGUAACUACCCAGAAAGGGACGGCUAACUACGUG
rnacentral:rRNA from 1 species